rnacentral:lncRNA from 1 species
AGACCUCAAUCUCUCUACCAAGACCUUGAUCUCUGAUGUGGAACUUUGUCAAAUGCUGUCUGCAAACGUAAGAGCAUGCUCUUCCCUGCAGGAGGACAAAGCCGGAGUCGUCUUCGAAAGGCAGAGGAGCGCUGAAUGAAUAAACAUUGGCAUUUCAUGUGAGAGACAUCAAGAUGACUUAAAUUUUUUUUUUCUUAGGUAAGUAAUCAUUGCUGUAAUGAAUACUUUUGCAUAGUCUUUUUUGCUCACAUGUGCUUGCAUUUCUCUAAAAUACAUUUCUAGAUGUGGAAUAACUUUGUCAUUUAAAAAAAUUCUCUCUGAAAAGGCUUAACCAAAAAUAUAGAAAUUUGCUCAUUUUUUCCACCUUUACCCAAACUAGAUAUUAAUAUUUUUUAAAAGAAUUAUUUCUCCUUUUUUUGACAAAACAUUGGUAUCUGGCUGGGCAUGGUGACUCACACCUGUAAUCCCAGCACUUUGGGAGGCCGAGGAGGGCAGAUUUCUUGAAGUCAGAAGUUCAGGACUAACCUGACCAACAUGGUGAAACCCCUUCUCUACUAAAAAUACAAAAAUUAGCCAGGUGUGGUGGCAUGUCUGUAGUUCCAGCUACUCGGGAGGCUGGGACACAAGAAUCGCUUGAACCUGAGAGGCAGAGGCUGCAGUCAGCUGAGAACGCACCACUGAACUCCAGCCUGGGUGACAGACCUAGAACCUGCCUCAAAGAAAAC